CUACACAAUGUCCUUUUUGAAAUAUGGUGACAUCUUGCCCAAAUCCAGAAUGGAAUUGACCUCUUCUGUAAAGACAAAGCAGAAGGAACAGGACUGUCCAUCACCAAAGUAUGCAUCUUUACAGCAUUAUCUCUUUUCCGGGUACCUGGGUAUAAAAGUGCAGCACAAUUUUUUAUCAGGAGGCUGAUCAUGCAGCUGAUGUACAAUUGGCCCAUGGAUAUCCUCUAAUCAUGGAGGACAGGUCCCUCGAUAGCUACCAGCCAUGACACAGUGGGUUUGAGGCAUCGGGGAAGGAAGCUGGAAGAUAAGUGGACUCAUUCAGGGACAUUGCCUCUAAAGAAGAGAGUUUUCUGCCAAAUAAAUGGAAUUCCUGAUGUCUAGUGUUUUGCGGACUGCCGCUACUAAUAGCUGAUGGGCAGUUAUUGAAGGAACUCAGGACUGCUUUUUUAUUUUAAAUGCUUCUAAUAUGAACCACUCUCAAGGUAACCAUUACUAUCUCUUAAAAACAUUUUAUUACGAAGGCAAAUGUAUGUUUUAGCAAUGCUCAGAUGGCUACUUAAUGUCAUGUUUAUCCCAGGCCAGACACUCUUUGAAACAAAUGAGAGUUUAAGAUCUAGCUUUCCUUUUUGUUUAAUGGAGCUCAAGUUGUUUAAAUCAUCCACUUCCAUAUAAACGUUUCACUUAAAACAAGCCGACCUAUUCCUCUCCAUUAAAAGUUCAUUCAUCACGAGCAGAGGAAGGUUUCAGCAAGUUUCAAAGAGGGAUUGGACAUCUCUGUGGAACAGCAAGAAUAUCUAAUAGUUUCACAGACUAAGGGGACAGAAUGUGAAACCUCCCGCCUUGGGGCUAUACCUGAUCUCCACUCUGUCAUUAUACAGGCAAGUGAUCUCAUCAGAGCUUAUACACUCCCUCCCCCUCCAACCACCACCAAAGGUUCAGAUGUGCUGGGGACAGGAUAUUGGUCUAGAAGGGCCAUAUGUGCAACCUUGGGCAGCUUCACAUUUAGGGAAGGAUAAUGUCUAAAAAAAUCCAACCGCUCAGGACGUUGUCAGCCGCUUCAGAUGUUAAUGAUAUGCACAAAGAGAGGAAGCACAGUGGCUCCCAUUUCCUGUCGUUACAGUUCAUUAGUGCCAAAAACGGGGACACCCACAUUGUUCCCAGGAAAGACGCAUGCGCUUCAGAUGUGGGUCCAUUUCAGCUGUCAGUGCUGUGACUGAAAGCUUUUCUGCACAAGCAGAUCAAUCAAGUGGGCAGAUACCAUUUGAGGGGAUCUGGUGGAUAAAUGUUUCCCUCCCUCCCAAAAAAUAAAAAAGCAUCAUUUAUAGAAGUAUAGCAUACUAAACAGAAAGAAAGUCAAGGUUUCUCUUUCUGGCAUGUUCAUUUUACAUGGGUAGAGAGACUAUGAGGUGGGGAUACCUUAAAACAUGCUGCCUUCCCUAAGAGUCUGGAAUGAUACUCUCAAAAAUUCCAUGCCACAUGGAUUAUAUCUGUAGACUAGUCCUGAAUCCAUACUUCCUGAUUUUCUGGGCAGGGAUAGUGGUCAAUAGUAAGGCAUCUGUUUGGCCAGGAGAAGGUCCCAGGAUCUCUCCAGGAUAGUGGACCACAUGGAGAAGGACCUUUCUUUGCCCAAUAUCUUGAAGAACCAGGAAUGGAAUUCCAGCAGGAGGUCCUUUGCAUAUUAGGCCUCACACCACUAAUGUAGCCAAUCCUCCAAGAGCUUACAAGGCUCUUUUUCAUAAAAUCUUAGAGGACUGGCUACAUCAGGGGGUGUGGCCUAAUAUGCAAAGGAGCUCCUGCUAGAAUUUUACCCCUGUGAAGAACUACUGUUAAACAGUGCUUUUACACACCCUGAAUAAUGUAUUUUCAAUCCUCUUCCAAUGCAUGUUCAUGAUCACUUGCAAGUUGGUUUUGCUGUUUCACACAGUAAGCUCUGUUUGCAAAGUGAACUGAACGUGCAUAUUCAAUGUGUGAAAGGACCCAAAGUAAAUAAUACUGGGUUAGGUGGGCUAAUGGCCUUUCUCAGGCAACUCUGUGUGUUAAUAUCAACCCAAGUCAUGGAUGGGUGGCUGAAGGUAAUCUUAAAUUGUAAUACUUGACAAUUAAAAUAUCUCAAUGUGUUGGCUGGAAGUAAAAGGUUUUGAUGCCAACUGGACUUGGGCCUAUGUCACAUAUUUAAAUAGAAGGUUUGCUUGAUCUGAAGCACAGCCAUUGCUGGCACCCAGACUCUGGAACUUCUCUUCACAGGGAGCUUUGUCUGUUCCUUUCUGUUGCCCUCUUCUGCUGGGGGUGAAGACUUUUAAAAUUUAUUUUGUUUAUUCCCUGCAUGAUUCCUCCUUUGUCACCGAUGUUUCAAUUGGGUUUUUUUUAUGUCCAUGUAUGUAUUUUAGCUCUGUUUGUAAUUGUUUUGAUAUGUGUUUUUUGUGAUGAGGCUGAUUUUAAAAAUGUUUAAAUAUGAUUUUUAUUAUGUGUUUUAAUUUGUUAGCCACCUUGGUGGCCCUCAUGGGGACAGAAAGAUGGGAUAUAAGUUUUAUAGAUAAAUAAAUUAGUGCAACUGUCAACAGA